rnacentral:rRNA from 1 species
UACGUAGGUGGCAAGCGUUGUCCGGAUUUAUUGGGUUUAAAGGGUGCGUAGGCGGCCCUGUAAGUCAGUGCUGAAAUAUCCCGGCUUAACCGGGAGGGUGGCAUUGAUACUGCAGGGCUUGAGUACAGAUGAAGUAGGCGGAAUUGACGGUGUAGCGGUGAAAUGCAUAGAUAUCGUCAAGAACACCUAUGGCGAAGGCAGCUCUCUGGGACGGUACUGACGCUGAGACGCGAAAGCGUGGGGAGCGAACAGG